GAUGAACGCUGGCGGCGUGCCUAAUACAUGCAAGUCGAGCGAACAGACGAGGAGCUUGCUCCUCUGACGUUAGCGGCGGACGGGUGAGUAACACGUGGAUAACCUACCUAUAAGACUGGGAUAACUUCGGGAAACCGGAGCUAAUACCGGAUAAUAUAUUGAACCGCAUGGUUCAAUAGUGUAAGACGGUUUUGCUGUCACUUAUAGAUGGACCCGCGCCGCAUUAGCUAGUUGGUAAGGUAACGGCUUACCAAGGCAGCGAUGCGUAGCCGACCUGAGAGGAGGAUCGGCCGCACUGGUGCUGAGGCGCGGUCCAGAAGCCUACGGGAGGCAGCAGUAGGGAAGCAUCCUCAAUGGGCGGAGGCCGGACGGUGCAACGCCGCGUGAGGGAUGAAGGUCUUCGGAGCGUAAAACUCUGUUAUUAGGAGAGAAGAAGGGUGGAAGUGACUGUGCACGUCUUGACGGUACCUGGACAGAAAGCCACGGCUAACUACGUG
rnacentral:rRNA from 1 species